CCUGGCAGUUAUCACUGGCUCAGCAGACAAUACACUAAGUCCUGGAAUGCAAGCAGAGCAGGAAAGAGCAGUUGGUCACACAGGUCAAGCCCGAAGUCAUUGGAGGGAAGACAGAGGGCUAAGGAAGGACGGAUGGGAUGGCCUCCACGGUCUGAGCAGGCAGGGUCUGGAAGGUGACACUGUCACGGAUUGAAUCUCUGGUUCGAGAGCUGAUAAAGAGCCAGUGUGCCAGGAAGCUGAGUUGUGCCCUGGUCCCAAGGUCACCAGUCACAACUCCUUUUGUGACUUUAGGCAAGAGGCUUCAAUCCCCUUAUCUGUAAAAUGGGUGCAACAAAAGUAAAUGCUUCGGUGAGAUUAUGCCUUUCAAUCGGAGAAAAAUUCAGCACACAGUGGGUUCCAAACUUUGCAGUGCAUUUUAAUGUUACGUCUACUCUACCAUUCCCUAGGGAUAUUCUGUCCUUUCCAUGAGUAUGUGCCUUACAAUGAAAUAUGGCCAUCUCUUUGGGAAAGUCUACAACAUUCAUAAUAUGGUCUAUUAAUUUGCCAUGUGCAAUUGGUUUCCCAGCCGAAAUUUUAUACCCUCUGUUUUUCUAUAUGUAUGAAGACCAAUGCACGGUGGAGAAGCAUAGUAAGAAUCCAAAAAAAUGUUGGCUCUUUUUCCUUUAGCAAACUCUAAGGCCAUGAGCAGAGGCUUGAGCUCAGCUCUUUGGGCGCUAACAUGACUUGGCAACAAUGAAUGACAAAGUGUUUUGUCAUUGUCAACUAAAGCUGUCCCUGUGAUUUUUCUCCCAUUGUGAAUAUAGGAGGACCCAUCCAGGUAUAAAUGUAAAAAAAUACAUUAUUAUUUAAAUUGAAAAGUUUAAAUUCCUUUUAAGAAGAAUUUUAGGUAAAGAAAGAUGAUACCUCUCUGAAUCCAGACACUGAACUGUUGGAGAAGACACCAUGAAGUAGCCUCCAGACCACAAGCUGCACAAGAAUGAACUUUGGGUGUGGUUGAUUGAACAUUUAUUUGUAUGUAUACUUUCAUGCCAAAGGGGACUGCCCUCUAACUGGCUUUUUGUCAAUGUGUCCAGCAAUUAUUGGUUUUGUUUUGUUUUUUCCUCCUAUCCUCAAAUUAUUGUAAUCUUUAAAUUGAUUAUGUUUUCAUGAUCCUUUGGGGAAAACCUUUUUUCCCAAAUGAUCACAUGGAGAUAUGUAAAAAUGGAGACUUGAACUCUGGACUCCAAUCCCCAGGAGUCCUUGCUAGCUCCCAGAAUGCCCUCUAAUCUCACUGAGAUUUCCACCUGAGCAAAGUUAAAAUUUCUAUUUAACCUGUCUGUAAAAGCUACUAGGACUUUUUCCUACUUCUGCUGGUGAGCAGACGGGUCUUUUCAUGAUGUAGGUGAGGUUGAAUUGGGCCUCUCGGCCCACCUAGACACAUACUUUCUUAUUUUGUAUUUUCUUUAUUUUUUAAUUUUUAAUAAACCUUAUAAAAUAUAAUACCUCUAGCAGAGAAACUAAUUUUAACUGUUACAUAACUAUUUCUGGAUCGAUAAGAGGUGUGUCUUUAAGGUGGUCAUUUGCCUUGUGCAUCAUUUCUACUACUUGACCACAAUCAUGUAACCCAAAAUACUGUGUUAGCAUUCCAGAAGCGAUACCUUUGGCUUCAUGGACAUACAAGUGGAAUUCUUUCUUAUAAUCUGGUAUUCCCAAAGCUGGAGCUUAUAGAAUAGCUCCUUUCAACUGUGACAAAGCAUGUAUAUGUUCUUUGUUUAAUUGCAAUGGUUCUUUAAUUUCUUUCUUUGUCAAAUCAGUUAAACAUUUGGAAAUAUGGGAAUAUCCUACUAUGUAUUGUCUCGAGAACCAGCAAUCCCUAGAAAAGCUCUGAGUUCUUUCUUAGUUCUAGGGAUGCCUAGCUUCUAUAUGUCUGCUAUUCUUUUAUUAGAGAUUUUCCUGAUGCCCCCCCCCCAAGACAAAUCCCAAAUAUUCAACUGUUGGAAGGACCCACUGAAUUUUCUUUUUUGAAACCUUAUGUCCUCUCUUAUGAAGCUCUAUCAAUAACUUCUUUGAAUCCUCCAAACAUGUUUUUGGGUCAGGUGAUGCUAGCAAUAAAUCAUCCACAUAGUGUAUUAAUCUGUUAUGUUUGAAAGUUAUGGUGGCUAGAUCUCUCUGCAGAAGUUGACAAAAUAUUGAAGCAGACUCACCUUGCAUUAGUCUGGUGUAACACAACUGAGUUUGCCUCCAUUGGAAAGCAAAAAUAUUUUGAGAAUCAGGGUGUAAUGGUAUUGUAAAGUAAGCGUUGCUCAAGUCUAACACUGUGUACCACCUAGCUUCUGAAGGUAUUUGAGUUAUUAUUCGGAGAAGGUGUGAAAGUGUGUUUUUUUCUCAUAAAGUUAUUUACAGCCCUAAUAUCCAUGACAAAUCUCCAAGAUGAACUGCCAUCUUCAUUCAGCUUGUUAGCUAGAAUAGGGCUACCGCAUUCAGCUACAGUAGGUCUUAAUAUGCCUUGUUCUAGCAAACUAUUUAUGAUAGGUGUUAUUCCUUCUUUUGCUUCUUCACUUAAUUUGUACUGUGGUAUAUAUAGGUGGUAUUCCUUCCCUGACCUCAGUCCUGACUGGUAUCACUGACUUGAUCGUACCCACAUCAUUUUGAUGUGGUAUAUCUUUUUGUAUACACCUUGUGGUAUAGCUUUUGGUAUUUCAUACAUAGAUGUUAAUAUUUGAAUUUUCUCAGGUUCUUCUUCAAGUUGUUCUGGGUAUAACAAUGGGUAGUGUUUCAGUGAAUUUGUGGGUAAAUGCAAGUAAAUUUUCCGAGAUCUUUAACAUUGCAAAGUCACUUGGAUCUUACACAAAAACAAAAACAAAAACAAAAAUCCCAUCCUAAAAGGUUAUCUGGACAUGAGGGAAUUAAUAGGAAUGAUCUAUGGUGAGAGGACCCAAUUUGACCAUAGUGCUUUUAAGCUCAGGAAUCUUGUGUAUUUGUCCCAUAGCUCCAGCUACAGAAAUCAUACCCCCUAUGUUGUUAUCCCCUGGACAUGUCUUUAGGACAGAUUUUGAAGCACCAGUAUCUAAGAGAGCUUUGUAGUUUUUCUUCCCUACUUUAAUCCAUACAUAUGGUUUUGGCUUCUGUGUAGCUAAGGUGUUUAUUGUUACUGAAUCACUCUGAAUUUCUUUGCUACCUUCUGCCAGCUGGAUGGUUGAAUCAUUUAAAUCUUCUUGAUUUAAAUCAUUUCCAAAGUGAUCUUCAUCUGAGGUUGAUUGUACUAUAUCCUAUACUUCAUUGGAAAAUGAUUUUAAAUCAUAGCUAUGGUUAAUCUCACAUAAUGUUACUUGGCCAGACCCCCCCCCUCCUCCACUUGGAAUGUUGGUUCCAAGUCUGUCGUUUGAAUCCUUGGUUGUUCUAUCAGUUACUAAAUUUUUCAUUCUAUUUAUCUUUUUAAAUUUAACUGUUAUUUCACCUCCAUUACUUUGAAUAUGAUUAUUAUUUUCAAAUGUAAUGUUGGCUUCAUUUUCACUAAAUUUUGUAUUUUCUAAAUUAGUCAUUGCAGGAUGGAAAGUUUCAGCUUCAGGAUUCAAAUUAGAUGUUGUUGUUUGUUUUUGUUUUUGUUUUUUCCUAAGGAGAUCUGUGCCAUACAGCUAUUUGAAGAAUUAAAUGUGUUUUGU